rnacentral:rRNA from 1 species
UACGUAGGGGGCAAGCGUUGUCCGGAAUCACUGGGCGUAAAGGGCGCGUAGGUGGCGCGGGCAGUCAACGGUGAAAGUUCGGGGCUCAACCCUGAAUCGGCCGUCGAUACUCCCGUGCUUGAGCACUGUAGAGGCAGAUGGAAUUCCGGGUGUAGCGGUGGAAUGCGUAGAGAUCCGGAAGAACACCGGUGGCGAAGGCGGUCUGCUGGGCAGUUGCUGACACUGAGGCGCGACAGCGUGGGGAGCAAACAGG